ACCCGUGUAUUUAAUAGUUCUAAAACCCUAAAUCUGCCACCGUCGCUUCUCUUCGUCUUCGUGCCCUGAAACCUUCCUUUAUUUUGUUGAAACUUGAAUCAGUUACCCUAGGAUCGAAGAGUGAAGAUCCGGCUUUGUUUUUCCAUUAAUCGCCGGUUCCAUUUGAAUCCUAAAACUGAUUGUUUUUUUUUUUUUUUUUUAGGAUUGAUGUAAGAUCUCCAAAUUUUGUUUCUCUCUCUUUCCUUGCCGAUUCAAGAAGAUUAGAUGUGGGCUUGAAUCCAUGGGGUAUAUGAUUAACCCCUGUUUGUAUAAACCCUAAGUCUCAAAAUUGAUCAACAAAUCAUACUUCUUUGCUUCGAUAAUUUACGAUUUCGGAGUGUUGUGAUGAAAUCUUUCUUCUCUGAUUGAAUCAUCUACCAUGUCACUCGAGGGGUGUUUAGAUGUGCGAUUAAUUUGAAAUCGAAUAAUCAGUUUUGUGUCAGCAUAAAGUAAUUAUGAUUUUCUGAUUAUCUAUAGUUAAAAUAAUCAUAUUUGGUGAAAAGUGUAAGGAAACUUUUGCAAGAAAAUUGGUUCAAGAUGAUAAAGAGGAUAGGGAUGGCGAUACUUGGCUUUAUUUCCACACAAUACUCCAUUGUUCCCACUUUCCUUCAAUCUUUCUCUUUCUUUAUCUCAAAAUCAAAGGCAAUCAACGAGUUUAUUUCAGCGAAUGAAAAUAUUACCAAGAGGGUACAACAUCUCAUCGAAGGUGAAUGGCAAAUGAUCUGGAGUUCACAAGUUGGUUUUCACAUGCCCUUUUGAAUAAUGAUAAGAUUACUUAUUUGCUCAUGUAAUAUUCUUCUUUUAUAUCAUUGCUAAUAGGUAAUUGAGACGUUUGCGAGUUGACACAAAAUUCGUAAAAAAAAUUUCUCAGAUGGAAAAAGAUAGAUGGAUAAAGAAUGCACCCACUUAUGUACUCUCAGAUGAGAUUUGCUCAAAAGUUCUCGACUUAUAUAUUUAACAUGGUUUUGGACCCAUAAUAUUAUCAUCAGAUACCAUAUAAAAACAAACUGAAAUAUCUAAUGAUGUAACUUCUGAUGAUAUUGAGCCAUGGGUGCUGCCGGGAUUUUAUUCCUCUCCUAUAUGACGUAUGCACAUAAUGCUUUAGUUCUAAAUGAAUUUCUUGACAAAAGAUGGAGUGUUGUACGUUAACUUUUGAUGACAUUCUUCAAUUUAAUAGAAAGCAAUGAUUUUACUUAUAGAAAUACAUGUAGAACUCCACGAUUGACUGUUUGAUAAGAUUAUCAUUGCACCUCAAUCAACUAAAGUCUCCUUUAUGCAACCCAAUAUCGAUCGGCGAAUUAAUGCAUCAAUAGUUGGGAAAGCCCUUCUCCAAUCAAGAAGUUCUUUUUUACAGAGGAGCACGGGUUCUCAAUAUACGGAAAACAUGGAACGCUUUGAUAUUUAAUCAUAAUCAACAAAAUCCAAAUAGUCUGGUGAAUGAAAUCAAAGCAACGGGGUAUCUUUGGUUAAAAAAUAGAUCAAAGUCAUUUGAGUUAUCUUGGUUGAUGAGUUGCAUUAUUUGGUUGCAGAUCUUUCACACUCCUGGGAAAAAUAUGAAUGUGAACAAGGCCAUAAUUACUAUAGAAUAUGUUGGUGUAGGAAUCAAAAUGGCGGCUGAAAAUUGUCAGAUGGGUGUUUCAAACAAGACUCCUGAGUUUCUUAAGAUGAACCCCAUUGGAAAGGUAUUGCCUUUUGGUUUUAAUCUAACCCUCACAAUUCCAAUAAAAUUACAAAACUUCAUUAAAUUUAUUAGAGUGUUACGAUUUUGCAUUGAUGUCGAUUCCUAUUCUUGAGACUCCCGAGGGUCCUCUAUUUGAGAGUAAUGCAAUUGCUCGCUAUGGUAAGCGAUAGUUUUAUUUUAACUUGUAAUGUUGGUUUCAUAUAGUGGCUUUUAUAUUUUCAUAUUGGUUGCUGCAGUUGCUCAUGGAAGUUCUCUGUUCGGGUCUUCCAAAAUAGAAUAUGCUGAGAGCUCUAUUGCUGGCUUGAAGAGAGGUUUCGAUGCUUUGAACAACUAUCUAGCAUCACACACUUUCUUGGUCGGUGAUGGUGUCACCUUGGUUGAAGAAGAAGAGGCACCGAAGUCUAAGCCGAAAAACUCUCUUGAUUUAUUACCUCCGAGUAAUAUGGUUUUGGAUGACCGGAAGAGGCUUUACUCUAACACUAUGUCUAACUUCUGUGAGGUUGCACACAAAGGUAUAUAUUUACAGAAAAAAGGGUGUUAAAAUGUAUGUAGUUUUUGGGUGGAAGCUUCAUUUGUGAUGCUUAUUAUACUGCCGCAUCCACAAGGUACUAAGCAUUACAUCUAUUGUACACUACUUAUAUAUAAUUGGUCAUGCUAUAAGCAUUACAUCUAUUCAGCAAAUGUUUAUGAUUUGUGUGACUUGCUGCUGUUGUUUGAUGACGAUUUUUAAUAAAAAAAAAGGCGAAUUGUAGGUUCUCCAUUUA